rnacentral:other from 1 species
UGCGGUCUGCGCUUCCCGGCAGGAGAUUCAAAUUCCCCGGGGCCUUAUUGAUCCCUAGGGAGCUGUCCCUGGAAAGACUCGUGGGUUUUUCUAUAUGGCGCCCACCUACUUUGUAGGUUCCCGGGAUCGUUUUCUUCACCGGUUGGGUGGAUCGCAC